GAUGAACGCUGGCGGCGUGCCUAAUACAUGCAAGUCGAGCGAACGGACGAGAAGCUUGCUUCUCUGAGGUUAGCGGCGGACGGGUGAGUAACACGUGGAUAACCUACCUAUAAGACUGGGAUAACUUCGGGAAACCGGAGCUAAUACCGGAUAAUAUUUUGAACCGCAGGGUUCAAAAGUGAAAGACGGUCUGGCUGUCACUAAUAGAUGAACCCGCGCUGCAUUAGCUAGUUGGUAAGGUAACGGCUUACCAAGGCAACGAUGCAUAGCCGACCUGAGAGGGUGAUCGGCCACACUGGAACUGAGACACGGUCCAGACUCCUACGGGAGGCAGCAGUAGGGAAUCUUCCGCAAUGGGCGAAAGCCUGACGGAGCAACGCCGCGUGAGUGAUGAAGGUCUUCGGAUCGUAAAACUCUGUUAUUAGGGAAGAACAUAUGUGUAAGUAACUGUGCACAUCUUGACGGUACCUAAUCAGAAAGCCACGGCUAACUACGUG
rnacentral:rRNA from 1 species